GGAUGUGAGGGCAGUCUGGCUGCAACAUUUGUCAGCCCAUUGAUUGCUAGGGUUGAUUCGGUGCAUCCGGCUGGCUAAGCGGGUGUCCCCUUCCUCCCUCACCAGUCCGUGUGCAUCCCUCCCGAAGCUACGUGCUCAAAGAGGAUGAUCAUUUCUGAUAGAGGAGGGCCAGUCUUUGGUCAAGAGUAUAUGAGUAGCUGCAUUCCCCUGCAGCUACUCCAAACAAGCUCUCAUUAGUUGUAUGCCUUGAAUAAUAAGAAGAUCCCAAGGUCAGGUACAACUUUGUCUUCUGU
rnacentral:snRNA from 10 species